rnacentral:tRNA from 1 species
UGUGAGGUGGUGUAAGGGUAGCAUAACUGCCUGUUAAGCAGACGGUGCUGGUUCGAUUCCAGCUCUCACAGCCA